rnacentral:rRNA from 1 species
UACGAAGGGGGCUAGCGUUGCUCGGAAUUACUGGGCGUAAAGCGCACGUAGGCGGAUUGUUAAGUCGGGGGUGAAAUCCUGGAGCUCAACUCCAGAACUGCCUUCGAUACUGGCGAUCUCGAGUUCGGGAGAGGUGAGUGGAACUGCGAGUGUAGAGGUGAAAUUCGUAGAGUAUUCGCAAGAACACCAGUGGCGAAGGCGGCUACCUGGCCCGACUCUUGACCGCUGAGGCGACGAAAGCUAGGGGAGCAAACGGG